UUUAUAUUCUACAAAGUGUGACCAAGAGUCUCAACAAAUUUCUUCAAAUUAAGAGAGCCUUUAAACUCAAGACUAUGUUUCUUAGACCCCGUUCACACUAGGACAUUUUUAUCGAUUUAAACUAGACCGGUUCACUUUAGAUCGAUUUAAGAGCCAAUGUGAACGCUUUGAAUCGAUCUUCAAUUAGUCUAAACUAAAACACCAAAAGAGGUAGUUUAGUUUGAUCGAUCUAAAGUAAAC
rnacentral:lncRNA from 1 species